rnacentral:rRNA from 1 species
AGUUCCGGCGUGCAUGAAUGGAUCAACGAGGUCCCCACUGUCCCGGCCCGGGGCCCGGCGAACCCACCUCCGGGUGCAGAGUCCUGGGACCCCCGACGGGGCGAGAAGACCCUGUGGAGCUUUACUGCAGCCCGUCGUUGGGGUGCGGGGGAGGGUGCAUAGCGUAGGUGGGAGCGAUGAAGCGCGGUCUCCGGGCCGCGCGGAUGCGCCAAUGAAACACCACCCACUCUUCCCCGCACCCCUAACCCCGGGUAAUCCCCGGGGGACAGCGGCGGGUGGGCAGUUCGGCUGGGGCGGCACACCCCUGAAAGGAUAUCAGGGGUGCCCAAAGCUCGGCUCAGGCGGGUCAGAGCUCCGCCGUAGAGGGUAAGGCCAAAUGCCGGGCUGACUGCGCCCUUGAACGCAAGGGGCGCAGGGGGGAAACCCGGGCCUAGCGAACGCUCGUGCCCCCACCAGUGGGGGCCGGGCAUGACAGAAAAGUUACCCCAGGAGUAACCGGCUCGUCGCGGGUGAGAGUUCCCAUCGACCCCGCGGUUUGGUACCCAGACGUCGUCUCUUCCCAUCCUGGGGGUGCAGCAGCCCCCAAGGGUGGGGCUGCCCGCCCAUUAAAGGGGAACGUGAGAUGGGUUCAGACCGUCGUGAGACAGGUCGGACUCUACCUGUCGGGGGUGCUGGCCGCCUGAGGGGAAGGUGCCCUCAGUACGAGAGGAACGGGGCGCCGCGGCCUCUAGUCUACCGGUUGUCCUACAGGGCAGAGCCGGGCAGCCACGCCGUAGGGGAUAACCGCUGAAGGCAUCUAAGCGGGAAGCCCUCCCCGAAAAGAGGCGGCCGCUCGGUACCUGGCGGGUUUCCCGCCAGGUGCCGGGAGAGGGUCCCCGUAGAAGACGGGGUUGAUGGGGUGGGGGUGUAACCCCCGAGGGUUUUCCCGAGGGGGGAGCCCGCCACUCCCAAUCGCCCCAGGUGCGGGUGGU